AUUAACGCUAGCGGCAGGCAUAAUACAUGCAAGUUGAACGGCAGCACAGGUAGCAAUACUGGGUGGCGAGUGGCGCACGGGUGCGUAACACGUAUGCAACCUACCCUAUACAGGCGAAUAACCUUUAGAAAUGAGGGCUAAUACGCCGUAGUAUUACAGAUGGGCAUCUAUUUGUAAUUAAAGAUUUAUCGGUAUAGGAUGGGCAUGCGUCCCAUUAGUUAGUUGGUAAGGCAACGGCUUACCAAGACGAUGAUGGGUAGGG
rnacentral:rRNA from 1 species